GGCCGAAGACGAGCCGGCGGUCAGGCCGUCCAGCACCUUCCUGAUGUUGAAUUUCCUCAUGGUCUCGGCGGGGUCCCCCGCAGCCCGGGAGGAGAGAGACUAGAGAAACCACAUGUUGAACCUGGAACAGCUACUAUCAGCCUGGGCCACUGAAUAAUUGCAUGAGGGAGAGCCACCCACCAGCCUGAAAUACCUGCUCUAGAAUUUCAUAUGAGAAACUGAGCCAGGAAGAAAUUACAUCUGUUGCCCAAGGUUACGUGGCUGGUGCAUGGGAGUGACCAUUCUGCUGACUCAGAGCAUCCCUCAAGUUCCACCCAUCUGGAAAAAAAUCAACUUGAAUGAUGGACAGACCAGCCAUUUCAGUGUAGCUCUAUUGCUUUCCCUUGGCAUGGUCCAGAUGGCCUUCAAUGAUGGAUGCUACCAUUGCUGGGGAAAUGUCACUGUUAGAGAAUAGAAAACUGUUAUUCCAAAGAGUACUGAAGACUGACUGAAUGAGGUCUGGAGCAUUAUUGAAAUGACACUUAUGGAUCGAAACAUGUGAAGACUUCAUCAAGUGUCUCAUAGUUUCAAGGACGGCUGGAUUUAAUCAUUUCCAGGGAUACAUCUAGAGGAAUUCCCAUAACCUCAGCGGACCCCAGAUCAGCUUGCCCACAGUGAGUGGGACGAAGCAAAUCGGAGCUGCUUAAACACAGAUGAGGUCAUUUUUUUCUCAUUAUGAGUCUCAUUACUCUUUGGAAAGCGCUUGAAGAUCACUGGUUUCACUACCCUCAGAGUGUCACCAGGCUGGUCAUCAAGGGGACCUGGGAACUCCUCUGCUGACCAAGUUCCAGCCCACAUCCACACAGAGUUGCUGUGAAAGAACCUUCUCUCCAUCUCAGAGCUGCAGGGCUCCAGGCGUCCCGUUGCGGUCUCCCAUUACCCGGACAGAGUCAGUGCCAGGGCAG